GACGAACGCUGGCGGCGUGCCUAACACAUGCAAGUUGAGCGACGACCCAGGGCUUGCCCUGGGGCAAAUCAGCGAACGGGUGAGUAACACCUGGGUAACCUACCCCAAUGACCGGGACAACCCGAGGAAACUCGGGCUAAUACCGGAUGAGCUCACUGGACCUCGGUUCAGUGCGUACAGGAAGCUUCGGCCUCCGUAUCGGGAGGGGCCAGCAGCCCAGUAGUUUGUUGGUGAGGUAACGGCUCACCAAGCCCGCGAUGGGUAGCUGGUCUGAGCGGACGAUCAGCCACAUUGGGACAGAGAAUGAGCCGAGACUCUUACGGGAGGCAGCAGUGGGGAAUCUUGCGCAAGGCACGAAAGCGUAAUGCAGCAACGCCGCGUGGGGGAAGAAGGCGUUAGGGUUGUAGAGCGCUGUCAGGAGGGAGGAAGGUACGGCGGUGAAUAGCCGACCGGACUGACGGUACCUCGACAAGAAGCCCCGGCUAACUACGUG
rnacentral:rRNA from 1 species